AGCAGCCGCGGUAAUUCCAGCUCCAAUAGCGUAUAUUAUAGUUGUUGCAGUUAAAAAGCUCGUAGUUGAAUUUUGGGUCUGGCCGGAUGGUCCGCCUUCUAGGUGAGCACUGUUCCGACGCCGGGCCUAUCCUUCUGGUGAAUCGGCAUGUCCUUUAUUGGGUGCGUCGGGGAACCAGAACCAUUACCGUGAAAAAAUUAGAGUGCUCAAAGCAGGCGUAUGCUUGAAUAGAUUAGCAUGGAAUAAUAAAAUAGGACGCGUGGUGCUAUUUUGUUGGUUUCUAGAACCGCCGUAAUGAUUAAUAGGGAUAGUUGGGGGCAUUAGUAUUCAAUUGUCAGAGGUGAAAUUCUUGGAUUUAUUGAAGACUAACUUCUGCGAAAGCAUUUGCCAAGGAUGUUUUCAUUAAUCAAGAACGAAAGUUAGGGGAUCGAAGACGAUCAGAUACCGUCGUAGUCUUAACCAUAAACUAUGCCGACUAGGAAUCGGGCGAUGUUAUUCUCAUGACUCGCCCGGCGCCUUAUG
rnacentral:rRNA from 1 species